rnacentral:snRNA from 1 species
GUAUACUAAUACAGUAUACUAAUUUGGAACGAUACAGAGAAGAUUAGCAUGGCUCGCGCAAGGA